GCCAGACUGGCCACUUUGGCCACACACAUGGGCCUCAGGCUAAGGCCUAGCUUUGAUGUAGCCACCUUGGGCCUGCUUACAGGUAGCAUGGCCUUUAACCCUGUGCUGCUCCAGGUGUAGGUCGUGCUGCUGUCUUGUCUUGUCUUGUCUUGUCAUGUGUUUUUGUUUUCUUUUGAUAUUGUGUUAACUUACUGUCUUGUCUGUUUAGUUUCAUUUUUUUUUGGGCAUAACUUCCAAGGUAACAUCGGGUUUUAUCUGGCAAGGAGCAUUAGUUUAGAGGGUGGCUAGUCAUAUACUAGUGUGGUGCAUUUGGCACUUGUUUGCUGUGUAAUCCAGAAUGUUUGCUGUGGACUGUUUUAAGUCAUGGGUUGCUGUGAUGAAGGUACACUUUCCAGUAGCAUGCCCCCUUUAGUCACUGUGAGCACUUGCCAGUCUCGUCCCGAAUAAAUAAAAGAACUACCUUUUUG